rnacentral:rRNA from 1 species
GUGGGGAAUCUUGCGCAAUGCGCGAAAGCGUGACGCAGCAACGCCGCGUGAGGGAAGACGGCCUUCGGGUUGUAAACCUCUUUCAGAAGGGACGAAGGGUCGGCCGCGAAUAGCGAGCCGGCUUGACGGUACCUUCAGAAGAAGCCCCGGCUAACUACGUGCCAGCAGCCGCGGUAAUACGUAGGGGGCAAGCGUUGUCCGGAAUCAUUGGGCGUAAAGCGCGCGUAGGCGGCUCGAUCAGUCUGCUGUGAAAGUCAAAGGCUCAACCUUUGAAAGCCGGUGGAUACUGUCGAGCUAGAGUCCGGAAGAGGCGAGUGGAAUUCCUGGUGUAGCGGUGGAAUGCGCAGAUAUCAGGAGGAACACCAACGGCGAAGGCAGCUCGCUGGGACGGUACUGACGCUAAGGCGCGAAAGCGUGGGGAGCGAACAGGAUUAGAAACCCCGGUAGUCC